rnacentral:misc_RNA from 1 species
GAUGAAGAACGCAGCGAAAUGCGAUAAGUAAUGUGAAUUGCAGAAUUCAGUGAAUCAUCGAAUCUUUGAACGCACAUUGCGCCCGCCAGUAUUCUGGCGGGCAUGCCUGUUCGAGCGUCAUUUCAACCAUCAAGCCCCAGGCUUGUGUUGGGGACCUGCGGCUGCCGCAGGCCCUGAAAACCAGUGGCGGGCUCGCUGUCACACCGGGCGUAGUAGAUUUUAUCUCGCUCAGGGCGUGCUGCGGGUUCCGGCCGUUAAAAAGCCUUUUUUACCCAAGGUUGACCUCGGAUCAGGUAGGAAGACCCUCUGAACUUAAGCAUAUCAAUAAGCGGAGGA